UAAGACGUAGGGGGCAAGCGUUGUCCGGAGUUACUGGGCGUAAAGAGCUCGUAGGCGGCUCUUUAAGUCGGGUGUGAAAGCCCUCGGCUCAACCGAGGAAUUGCAUUCGAUACUGAAGGGCUAGAGUCUGGUAGAGGAAAGCGGAAUUCCCGGUGUAGCGGUGAAAUGCGCAGAUAUCGGGAAGAACACCGGUGGCGAAGGCGGCUUUCUGGGCCAUGACUGACGCUGAGGAGCGAAAGCUAGGGUAGCAAACAGG
rnacentral:rRNA from 1 species